CAAAGGCAAGGCAUCGGCUCAGCUCUACUGAGGACCUCAUGGUGGAAUGAUGUCACAAUGCCAGGAGCUCUAAUGGGAAGAGACCACUUCUCCAAACAGGAAGCCAGAAAGACUGGGUGGAGCCAAGCUCAGGCUGAACCCAUCCAGGACACCAUGUCACAACUACUUUUUAUGUCUCCUCUGGCUCCUGGUGGCUAGCGCUGUUUUAAUCUCUGUUCUGCAGAGCCUGAGGCCUUCUGCAGAGUUUCUUUGAAAUUACAGCUCAAUAUUUUCAAGCACUUAUCCAAACAGCCUAAUGUUCUGAUGGCUCAUAGCCGUGUUUCAAGGCAAUAAACAUCUCUGUUUUCUGUGCCGCUGAAGGAACUGCUGCCUAGCCUCCUGCCAGAUGACUAAUUGGGGACGCAGGAGCAUUUUUCCAGGUAGGCUUUUAAUGUUGGCUGAAUGAAAUCAGAAAUGAAGAAGAGCUGCCUUACGAGCUUGCCGCUUCAGGACAAACAUUUGCAGAGAUGUAGUAGAAACAUUAAACACAUCGCAUUUUCCAGUUUUCCAGAUGGUUCUAAUGUGCAGCCAGAAUCGAGAGUCACGCUGAUCAUGAAAACUCAAGGAGCAAGCCCUGGCUUACAAGCCCUGGAGAGUGUGCUUCUCUUGGAGUUCUGGAAGAGCAGAAUCACUUCUUUCUGGACCUCCUUGAGUCACCACUGAGGCAUUUGCAAACUAAGUCAACACCGAUAUUUUUUAUUCACCAAAGGAGAACAAAGCAUCUGCUAAAAGAAGCAGCUUGAUAAAUAGUGGAAAAAGCAUGGAAUUCAGAGGACUUGCAUUUAAAGCUUCUGUUCAUGACUUACUCCUAACCUGCCACUGACUAAUCUUUCUGAGUUUCUCUUUCUUUAUCUGCAAAAUGGGGUUAAUGGAGGAUUUCAUCUGCAAAGUGGGGAUAAUAGAGAUUGAAAAAGAUGACGCCAGCACAUUAUUCCCAAAAUAAACACGAAUUCUGUCUUAACAAUAAUAUUAUGACUGUGUGGUGACAACCAAAACUUUUCUCCUUUUGCCGUCAGAAAUGUCCUUGGCAGAUUUUACAUUCUUGUUCAUAUUGCUUUUUCUUUGGUGGUGCUCCAGAACA